AUGAUCAGGGAGGGGCUGGUAGGGAGGGUCGGAGAGCACGGCGUAGGUGAGCAGGAAGUGGCCCGGCGCGCGCGCCCAGCGCGGCUGGCCGGCGAAGAAGGCGAAGCGGGCGGUGGCGUUCGUCUGGAGGUCCGGGACGCCGCAGCGCGGGGUGGCGAGGAGGUCGAGCGUGCGGGCGUCGAGGCGGCCGGUGACGGGGAGGCCGAGGGUGGACUGGUAGAGCCGCACCACGAGCUGGCCGUCGGCGUCGUCAGGCGUGGACGCGUAGCCGAAGCGCGCCAGGUAGCGCCUGAGGCCGUCGGUGACGUUGCCGUCCCGCGCCUGGAGCAUGCCCGCGAGCGAGGAGGAGGGGUUGGCGUCGCCGUGGAGAAGAAGGUGCCGGGAGCAGCAGCUGCAGCAUGGUGGAAACAGGAGGAGGGGCAAGAAGAAGGAGAAGAAGAAGAUGGACAUGGGCGCGCGCGCAUAUGGCUACUUCUAGUUCUACAUGACUGCGCGCAUAUAAGAAGAAGAGGAAAGAAUGUCGAGGGCCACACCGUAGGACGAAACUUUGACUAG
rnacentral:rRNA from 1 species